rnacentral:sRNA from 1 species
UAUCGGGUACGCUUGUCUGAUUAAAU